GUGCCAGCCGCCGCGGUAAUACCGGCAGCACGAGUGAUGACCGCUAUUAUUGGGCCUAAAGCGUCCGUAGCUGGCCACGCAAGUCUAUUGGGAAAUCCGCGCGCUUAACGCGCGGGCGUCCGGUGGAAACUGCGUGGCUUGGGACCGGAAGACCAGAGGGGUACGUCCGGGGUAGGAGUGAAAUCCCGUAAUCCUGGACGGACCACCAGUGGCGAAAGCGCCUCAGGAGAACGGAUCCGACAGUGAGGGACGAAAGCUAGGGUCUCGAACCGGAUUAGAAACCCGCGUAGUCC
rnacentral:rRNA from 1 species